rnacentral:rRNA from 1 species
UACGGAGGGUGCAAGCGUUAUCCGGAUUCACUGGGUUCAAAGGGUGCGUAGGCGGGCAGGUAAGUCCGUGGUGAAAUCUCUGAGCUUAACUCAGAAACUGCCAUGGAUACUAUUUGUCUUGAAUAUUGUGGAGGUAAGCGGAAUAUGUCAUGUAGCGGUGAAAUGCUUAGAUAUGACAUAGAACACCAAUUGCGAAGGCAGCUUACUACACAAAUAUUGACGCUGAGGCACGAAAGCGUGGGGAUCAAACAGG